rnacentral:lncRNA from 1 species
GGGCACCUUGUGGGUGAGAGUCCAGCCUUGGGUCGGAGUGCCGGGUCUAGGCCUGGAGGCGCGAGGCGGGCAUUUCGGACGAGAGUGGCGCGGCGUGGGGCGCAGCGAGGGCACUACGCGCCCAGGAGCUGCCGCGCCAACCUGAUUUUCCGCAGCUGUUUAAGGAGUAGCGCUUCGGUAGCCGGGGAGCUGGAGGGAACCUGAUUUGAGAUCAAUUCUUGGAGAACACAAAGAAGUGUGAUGGAUUGAACCAGCUGCCCUUUGACCCUGCCAACAACAACGAGCCCCUGCAGUUUGGUAGUGCCAGUGGCCCUCUGGUCACAGAAGGCCUCAUUGAGAAUGGAGGGGAAUCAAGCAAGAAAAGAAAGAGAACAAAUACUCCUUCAGGUAAGCUAGGUGAUAAUGCACUGUCUUAAGCCAGUGCC